rnacentral:rRNA from 2 species
AGAGUUUGAUCCUGGCUCAGGAUGAACGCUAGCGACAGGCUUAACACAUGCAAGUCGAGGGGCAGCACAGGUAGCAAUACCGGGUGGCGACCGGCGCACGGGUGAGUAACGCGUAUGCAACUUACCUAUCAGAGGGGGAUAACCCGGCGAAAGUCGGACUAAUACCGCAUGAAGCAGGGGCCCCGCAUGGGGAUAUUUGCUAAAGAUUCAUCGCUGAUAGAUAGGCAUGCGUUCCAUUAGGCAGUUGGCGGGGUAACGGCCCACCAAACCGACGAUGGAUAGGGGUUCUGAGAGGAAGGUCCCCCACAUUGGUACUGAGACACGGACCAAACUCCUACGGGAGGCAGCAGUGAGGAAUAUUGGUCAAUGGACGCAAGUCUGAACCAGCCAUGCCGCGUGCAGGAUGACGGCUCUAUGAGUUGUAAACUGCUUUUGUACGAGGGUAAACGCAGAUACGUGUAUCUGUCUGAAAGUAUCGUACGAAUAAGGAUCGGCUAACUCCGUGCCAGCAGCCGCGGUAAUACGGAGGAUUCAAGCGUUAUCCGGAUUUAUUGGGUUUAAAGGGUGCGUAGGCGGUUUGAUAAGUUAGAGGUGAAAUUUCGGGGCUCAACCCUGAACGUGCCUCUAAUACUGUUGAGCUAGAGAGUAGUUGCGGUAGGCGGAAUGUAUGGUGUAGCGGUGAAAUGCUUAGAGAUCAUACAGAACACCGAUUGCGAAGGCAGCUUACCAAACUAUAUCUGACGUUGAGGCACGAAAGCGUGGGGAGCAAACAGGAUUAGAUACCCUGGUAGUCCACGCAGUAAACGAUGAUAACUCGUUGUCGGCGAUACACAGUCGGUGACUAAGCGAAAGCGAUAAGUUAUCCACCUGGGGAGUACGUUCGCAAGAAUGAAACUCAAAGGAAUUGACGGGGGCCCGCACAAGCGGAGGAACAUGUG